UACGUAGGGGGCAAGCGUUGUCCGGAAUCAUUGGGCGUAAAGCGCGUGUAGGCGGCUUCGUAAGUCCGUUGUGAAAGUCCAGGGCUCAACCCUGGAAUGCCGAUGGAUACUGCGGAGCUAGAGUCCGGAAGAGGCGAGUGGAAUUCCUGGUGUAGCGGUGAAAUGCGCAGAUAUCAGGAGGAACACCAAUGGCGAAGGCAGCUCGCU
rnacentral:rRNA from 1 species